rnacentral:rRNA from 1 species
CUGGCGGCGUGCCUAACACAUGCAAGUCGAGCGGAGACAGUGAGUAGCUUGCUAUGAGCUGUUUUAGCGGCGGACGGGUGAGUAACGCGUGAGCAACCUUUCCCAGACAGGGGAAUAACACACCGAAAGGUGUACUAAUACCGCAUAAGACCACGGUUUCACAUGGAACUGAGGUAAAAGAUUUAUCGGUUUGGGGUGGGCUCGCGUCCGAUUAGGUAGUUGGUGAGGUAACGGCCCACCAAGCCGACGAUCGGUAGCCGACCUGAGAGGGUGAUCGGCCACAUUGGGACUGAGACACGGCCCAAACUCCUACGGGAGGCAGCAGUGGGGAAUAUUGCACAAUGGGGGAAACCCUGAUGCAGCGACGCCGCGUGAGCGAAGAAGUAUUUCGGUAUGUAAAGCUCUAUCAGCAGGGAAGAAAAUGACGGUACCUGACUAAGAAGCCCCGGCUAACUACGUGCCAGCAGCCGCGGUAAUACGUAGGGGGCAAGCGUUGUCCGGAAUAAUUGGGCGUAAAGGGCGCGUAGGCGGCUCGGUAAGUCUGGAGUGAAAGUCCUGCUUUUAAGGUGGGAAUUGCUUUGGAUACUGUCGGGCUUGAGUGCAGGAGAGGUUAGUGGAAUUCCCAGUGUAGCGGUGAAAUGCGUAGAGAUUGGGAGGAACACCAGUGGCGAAGGCGACUAACUGGACUGUAACUGACGCUGAGGCGCGAAAGUGUGGGGAGCAAACAGGAUUAGAUACCCUGGUAGUCCACACUGUAAACGAUGAAUGCUAGGUGUAGGGGGUAUCGACCCCUUCUGUGCCGCAGUCAACACAAUAAGCAUUCCGCCUGGGGAGUACGGCCGCAAGGUUGAAACUCAAAGGAAUUGACGGGGGCCCGCACAAGCAGCGGAGCAUGUGGUUUAAUUCGACGCAACGCGAAGAACCUUACCAGGUCUUGACAUCCACUUAAACUUACAGAGAUGUAAGGUGUGCUUGCACAAAGUGAGACAGGUGGUGCAUGGUUGUCGUCAGCUCGUGUCGUGAGAUGUUGGGUUAA